rnacentral:ribozyme from 14 species
AAAACAAAAACUCAAAAUCAACAAAGACUUGGAUACACAAGAAAAGAGAAAAAUGAAAAGAGAAAAAAAAAUAUUUUUCUUCGUUUUUGAUUUGUUUUUUGUAUUUU